UCCCUGGUGGCUUAGAUGGUAAAGCGUCUGCCUACAACGUGGGAGACCCAGGUUCAAUUUCUGGGCCGGGAA
rnacentral:tRNA from 1 species